rnacentral:rRNA from 1 species
CCGAAAGGGAGAUGUGCCCGCAAGGGAGCCGAGAGACAGGUGGUGCAUGGCUGUCGUCAGCUCGUGUCGUGAGAUGUUGGGUUAAGUCCCGCAACGAGCGCAACCCUCACCCCUUGUUGCCAUCAGGUCAAGCUGGGCACUCUAGGGGAACUGCCCCGGUCAACGGGGAGGAAGGCGGGGAUGACGUCAAGUCAUCAUGCCCCUUACGCCCUGGGCUACACACGUGCUACAAUGGCCGGUACAAAGGGAUGCCACACCGCGAGGUAGAGCUAAACCCAAAAAGCCGGUCUAAGUUCAGAUUGGAGUCUGCAACUCGACUCCAUGAAGGAGGAAUCGCUAGUAAUCGCGCAUCAGCACGGCGCGGUGAAUACGUUCCCGGGCCUUGUACACACCGCCCGUCACACCACGAAAGCCAG